GAAAGUUCUCAACCCGACUGAAAGUUUGUGUUGACCAUUUGCCAAACUUCAACUUCAGCGCUCUUCUUGAAGGGCAUGACUUGUCAUCCUAAUAUAAUUAGCCCCUCCUCCAGCGGGUCAGACACACAAUAUCCCCCAGCCUCUUGGGGACAAAGAGAGAAUGGAAGCCAAGCCAUGGAGAAGGAAAAAGAAAAGUGUCAGAGGAUACACCCUCAGGCCGAGCACUGUGGCUGCCGUAGAACAGGACCUGCUCAGUGGUUUUGGGAUUGAGCUGAAUCUUAGAAUGAAAUCCUAGAAUUGAGGAGCUGAAGGGAUUAAAAUGGUAUCUGUAAUGUUAAACUUCAGACUGCUGCACAAUAUAUCUGUUUUAGGUACUUUUUAAAAGAUAAGAAGUAUAAGACUUCAAAGAAGGCUCUCCCUUGGGAGGGGUCCCUCCCGGCUUCACCUUAGAGUCUCUGCACAUUUAGCUCACCUGCAUUCGGGUGCUUAAGGGAGCAGAGAAGCACCAGUUUAGAUGAUGCAGGAUUUUCUGAUGCCAACGUGAGCAUGAUAAAAUGUCCGAAGGAAGAACACGAGGCUGUGCAUUCCAGGCAGAUUCUGGACGUGAAAACAAUGAGGCACACAUGCAUUUAGGUGAAUCGAUUCACUUUUAAUUUGCACACUUCCUAGAAGAAUGCCAUUUGCACUGGACCGUUCGAACCACUACAGAGCUCUUGGUCCUUCUAAUCCCCAAGAAAAGCCGAUCGAUCUAUGGUGUUCUGCUACACUGUGUUUUCCACUUUGCCCCUUUUUCUCAAUUCUUUGUGAUCAGCAUAAAGUUUGGACUCUGCCUCUUCUCGCCGUCCUGCCUGGCCACCUGUCCAGCUCUGCAGUCGGCUGUACUGACCAGCAGACGGUGCCUCUCUUGCCGAGUGGAGCCGAUGCUCUGUGACCAUUGUUUGUGGGGCUACCCCUUCAGGACACUGGUCAACAGCUGUGAGAGGCUUCGCAUCCUGGCCCAUAUGAAAGGAAGGCCUGGAAACACUUCUCGGAGCAUCAUCAGUUCAUAGGUCACGGCAACCGGCCGAACAAUACGCGAUUAUUCAGCGGGCUCAAUUCAUUUUCCUCUGCUCCUCCCCCACCGUUACCCUUGAGAGAGAAAACUAAUUUGCAGAAAAAUAGCCCCUGCCAGCCAACUUCUCCGCCUAAAUGUAUGCUGACCCCGAAC